rnacentral:rRNA from 1 species
GAUGAACGCUGGCGGCGUGCCUAAUACAUGCAAGUCGAGCGAACGGACGAGAAGCUUGCUUCUCUGAUGUUAGCGGCGGACGGGUGAGUAACACGUGGAUAACCUACCUAUAAGACUGGGAUAACUUCGGGAAACCGGAGCUAAUACCGGAUAAUAUUUUGCACCGCAUGAUUCAAAAGUGAAAGACGGUCUUGCUGUCACUUAUAGAUGGAUCCGCGCUGCAUUAGCUAGUUGGUAAGGUAACGGCUUAUCAAGGCAACGAUGCAUAGCCGACCUGAGAGGGUGAUCGGCCACACUGGAACGGAGACACGGUCCAGACUCCUACGGGAGGCAGCAGUAGGGAAUCUUCCGCAAUGGGCGAAAGCCUGACGGAGCAACGCCGCGUGAGUGAUGAAGGUCUUCGGAUCGUAAAACUCUGUUAUUAGGGAAGAACAUAUGUGUAAGGAACUGUGCACAUCUUGACGGUACCGAAUCAGAAAGCCACGGCUAACUACGUG